UUUUUUUUUUUUCUUUCAUCAUCACAUAAAGAUGUGAUUUUCCCCCCGUAAUACACAUAUUUUCCUUCCUUCCCACUUUCUGGAUAAUUACUGGUCUUCCUUUUUGGCUCCACUUUCUUUUCCCAAACAUUAGAUAGUAUUUUUCUUCAUGAUUCUAACAUGUUCUCUUCUCUUUUCACUAUGCAUACUAAAAAUAUUGUGAUUUAAAUUAUCAUCUGAAUUUUUAUGAUCCGAGAGCUCUCAUCUUUGCUCAGGAGAAAUGAAUCUGACUAGCAUUCAUGAGGACACAGGUUCGAUCUUGGCCUCGCUCAGUGAGUUAAGGAUCCAACUUUGCUGUGAGCUGUGAUGUAGGUCACAGAUGAGGUUCAGAUCUGGCAUUGCUGUGGCUGUGGUGUAGGCUUGCAGCUAUAGCUCUGAUUGGACCCUUAGCCUGGGAACCUCCAUAUGCUACAGCUGUGACCCUAAAAAAAAAAAAAAGACAAAAAAAGGUAUCCAAGAGUUCCCGUGGUGGCGCAGUGGUUAACGAAUCCGACUAGGAACCAUGAGGUUGCGGGUUCGAUCCCUGCCCUUGCUUAUCAGGUUAAGGAUCUGGCAUUGCUGUGAGCUGUGGUGUAGGUCGUAGACGUGGCUCGGAUCCUGUGCUGCUGUGGCUCUGGUGUAGGCCAGCGGCUAUAGCUCCGAUUAGACCUCUAGCCUGGGAGCCUCCAUAUGCUGGGGGAGCAGCCCAAGAAAUGGCAAAAAGACAAAAAAAAAAAAAUUCCUACUUCUUUAACCAAAUGUCUCAUGGACACCUCUAUAGGAUCCUUCAUCUACUCAUAAACCAGCUUCUACUGAGAGGCCCGUAAGUGUGUGAUAUCAUCACCAAUUAUCUGCAUACCAACCUUAACUCCUUCCCUCUCAUCUCUCUAGUAGUACUAUUCUAUUAAUUACUGUUGAUAUUGGGCCAUUGUUGACCUAUAGCUGAGUGGCUCAUAGGUCCACUUGCUUUUAUCCACCACUAACAUGCUGCCUUCAAUCAGAGCCCCAGCCUUGAGUGCCUAUAUGUGCUCAGAACUCUCCUUCACGGCUGAGGUAUAUCAAUGAAUGAAACUAAUAAGAAAUAGCUGUCUUUGUGGAUCUUACAUUCCAGUGGGGGAGAGAAACUCUACACGUAAUAUAGUCAAUAUAUUCAGACAUAAAAUCAACAUAAUAAAUAAGCAAAAAAUAGGAAAUCAGUAAGCGAUGCAUUAUGGAAAAUAAAAACUAUAGAGACAGUAGUAGGAUCUAGAAUGCCCAGGGAGAUGGGAAGAGGGGAAAGUCUGAAAUACUAAGUAGGAGAUUUAGGAUCAGCCUCAGUGAGGCAGUGAGAUUUGAGCAAAGUUUUGAAUGAGGUGAGGGAGUUAGCCACGUAGUUAUCUGAAGGAAGAAUAUUCCAGACAGCAGAAGCAGCUAGAAAAAAAUUUCACGGGGCAUAGAGUGGUAGUGUAUCUUCUAUGUUCAAGGAGCAGCAGCUCUGUCAGUGUGGUUAGAAUGACAGAGGAAGAAGGAGUCUACAGCACGAGGUGAGGCGAUGGGAAUUCUAACAGGGCACUACACAAGGUUGGGGAUCGAGGGUCCUUGGUAGGACUUUAGUUUUCACACUGAGCAAAAGGGAUCCAAUGCAGGGCCCCAGACUGAGGAGUGACCUAAUCUGGUUAUAUUUAAAACUGAUCAUCUGGCUGUUGUGUUGAGAACAGUCUGUCAGAGACCUGGCAGCACCUUCUGCAGAAAUCCAGGCAAAAGAUGAUGGUGGCUUUGGACCAGGGUUGUAGCAGUGGUGAUGGUCAGAAGUUAUCAAAUUCUAGGUACAUUUUGAAGGUAUAACCAGUAAGAUUUCCUGAUGGGUUGUAAAUAAGAAAUGAAUUAUCCAUUGCUCACAGUAAUGCUCUUCACGACUAGAACUUUGGGGUGUGUGUGUGUGUGUGUGUGUGUGUGAUAUUUAGUCUCAAAAGGGAUAUAUAUAUCCAAUGUUUUCUACAUGACAGGCACUGCACCAAUCACUUUAAAUAUAUUAAUUUAUUUUACCCCUUCGAUAGACUUAUAAAUCAUUGCUAUUAUAACGAUUCCCAUUCACAGACAAAGAAAGAGAAGCACAGGGAAUUUAAGUGAAUCCUUGAAGGUCAUUUGUUCCUUAAGCCAUAGAACUAGAAUCCAAACGUGGCCUGUGAGAUUCCGCCCAGGGGCUUGCAAAGAAAGGGAGGAAAAUUGGAGAAUAGGAGUUCCCGUUGUGGCUUAGUGGGAAUGAUCCCAACUAGUAUCCAUGAGGAUUCGAAUUCAAUCCCUGGCCUCACUCAGUGGGUUAAGGAUCUGGUGGUGCUGAGAGCUGAGGUAUAGGUCCCAGACAUGGCUCAGAUCCUGCAUUGCUGUGGCUGUGACUUAGACCAGCAGCUGCAGUUCCAAUUUGACCCCCUAGCCUGGGAACUUCCAUAUGCUGGAACACAUGGCCCUAACAAGAAAAAAAUAAAAAUACAGGGAGAGAAAAUGUAGUUUCCUUUUGGCUACAACAAAACUGUAAUUUUUUUCUGCAAAAGGGUUGCAUUUAGGGCAACUGUUUCCCAGCAGAGACCAUCGGCCUGAACAUCAGCCUCUGCUGGCAGAAAGAUUCUGGAAAUUUUUAUAACUUGCUGUGACAACUUUGAUGUUAAAAUCCAAGCAAGUUUACAGAAAGCUUAUUAUUUUCAGUGACGGUAAUUCCAAGGAGAACGCCGUGGGCUUGCUGCCCUGACACAGCCCCACCCUCGACCUUCACACAAAGAAGCCUCUGAAGGGAGAAGACAGAGGAGCCUUGCUCACCACCUAUUGCAUGACGGGCCUGCCUGCUGGGUUGUGGGUAGAAUUCCCGCCAAGAACAGUUUCUGCAGGGGGAAGAAGGAGUUCUCAUUUGUUACACAACGCAUGAUAAAUUCCUGGCCCAUUUUCCCUUUGCCCUGUAGUAUCGAAGAGGAAAGACUUGCAUGACAUUCCAUGUUAUGCAAAGUAAUAUCACUAUCAGCAAAGUGAUUAUCAUAAAGUUGGCAAAAUUGAUUUUUUUCCAGAAGGUUUCUAUUUUCCUGAUAUUACAAAUUGUCAAUACCCCCUGAGACACCAUACCUUGAAGAAAGUGAAGACCAAAGGUGAGAGGGAUACAGGACAGAACAGAAGUUAUGCUCCAAACUUGACUUUGGAACUUGGAAAAUAUUUUCACAGGACUGGAAACAAUUUAAUUUCUCUCUUCUUUAUUUUUACUUUCACCAAUAUAUAUUAACUACUUACUUUUUAAGAGUAUAGAAAACAAUCAUUCUUCAUUGUAGACAAAAGUUUAUGGAUAGAGGAGUUCCCGUCGUGGCGCAGAGGUUAACGAAUUCGAUUAGAAAUCAUGAGGUUGCGGGUUCGGUCCCUGCCCUUGCUCAGUGGGUUAACCAUCCGGCGUUGCUGUGAGCUGUGGUGUAGGUUGCAGACGCGGCUCGGAUCCCGCGUUGCUGUGGCUCUGGUGUAGGCCGGUGGCUACAGCUCCGAUUGGACCCCUAGCCUGGGAACCUCCAUGUGCCGCGGGAGUGGCCCAAGAAAUAGCAAAAAAGCCAAAAAAAAAAAAAAAAAAAAAAGUUUAUGGAUAGGAAAUGUCUUUGCAUAUUAAAUAUAUGGAUAUCAUUGGAAACAGAAGUACAAACUACACGUUAAUGUUAUUGCAGUAUAUACGCAAGAGACACAGGCUUGAACAUAUGUCUUAUUUAUAUUUUAUCUUGAUAAUUCCUGGACUCGUUUUCCAGAUUUCAUAAAAGAAACUGUUGAUGUUUUGAAAAUGUUUUCCAUAAGAGGCAUCCCCAAAUGCAUUUUUGACUAGAGCAAUGAUUUUGAACUUGAGAGCAUUCAUUUAGAUUUUUGUUUGGACCUCUUAGUAGUAGUAACUGUACAGUGGCCUUAUCCCAACAUUACACUUUCGCAGUUCACGAUGAAACAUAUCUCUGCUUUACCGGAAGAGGGAAAUGCACACUGGAAUGUAUGGGAGUGGAAAAGGGGGGUAUUUUCCAUAUGCUGAACGUGUUACACCAGUUUUCUUUCCUCUACCUUCCUCCACAUCCUUAACUUUACUAGUGAACUCUUUCCUCACUAGUAAAUGGGGAAGGCAAUUUCCCCACGAAAUGAGCAGAAUAGGAAACAAUGGUUCUGCAUCUUCUAAGGAAAGAACAUUCGUGAACAUAGGAUUUACCCUUUAAAAAAAAAUUGUGUGUUUCUGUGGUUGAUACCUUUACCCAUUUAAAUUUCACAUUUAAAAAAUUAGACGACUUUCCCAAUUUAGAGGGGAUGUUAAGGAAGCAGGCACUGCUCAUGGGAUUUAUGUUCUUCAUUUUAAUUAAUAAGAAUGUUCUAAAAGUAAACACAUAGCUGACUAUUUGAAUGUUCUUCAAAUAUGAGGUGACUAUCUUAGGGUCAUAAGUUAGAGUGAGUGUGAUGACAAGGGACAAAGAAACUCCAAGGGAUCAGUCAUGGACCAACAUAGAGAGCAGUAGAUUUGUGUGGCUGCUUUUCAUCAGGGAUGACAUAAAUGACCACUGACCCGAAACUGUUUCUGUGCUGUAGAGAAGAAUUAAGUGAAAAUAUGAAGUCACUGCUUUGGUAAAGUGAGUGGAGAAAAUUUUCUUUAGAUCUGGCCCAAACCUUUAGUGUGCAAUACCAGGCUGUCUUCUUAGAAAAGGGUGGGCGAAAAUACAACAGGAAAAAAAUGCAAACUAACGCCUCAUUAAGCUCACCAGCCCCUGAAUACUAGAGGAUGCUUGGCUUUCAUCCUUUUUAACUAUCUGGAAGGUGCAAGAGUGGGAAUCCAGCAGAAGACAUUGUUAGCUGGAAAGAUGCAUCUUUCUCAUCCAAAAACAGAGUGUUUCUUGAAUAGGAAGAAAGCACCCUGAGAAAUGGGUUUCUGCUUUAAAAGUUUGGGGAUCAAGAGUGCAUUGUUCAUGGUGAUAUAUAGACAAUGAAACAUUAUUCUGCCAAAAAAAAAGAGACAAAAUUCUGUCAUUUGCAAGAACAUGGAAUCUUGAGGUCAUUAUGCUAAAUAAAAAAAGUCAAACAGGGAGUUCCCGUCAUGGCGCAGCAGAAACGAAUCCAACUAGGAACCAUGAGGUUGCAGGUUCGAUCUCUGGCCUUGCCGUGAGCAGUGGUCAAGGAUCUGGUGGUGCCUUGAGCUGUGGUGUAGGUUGCAGAUGCGGCUCGGAUCCCACGUUGCUGUGGCUCUGGCGUAGGUCAGCGGCUACAGCUCCAAUGUGACCCCUAGCCUGGGAACUUCCAUAUGCCACGGGAGCGGCCCUAGAAAAGGCAAAAAGACAAAAAAAGGAAAAAAAAAAGUCAAAGACAAAUACUGUAUCAUCUCCUUUAUGUGCAG
rnacentral:lncRNA from 1 species